UUCUAUGGCCAUGCUACCCUGGACAAGCCCAAUCCUGUCUGAUCUCAGAAGCUAAGCAGGGUCAGGCCUGGUUAGUACUUUGGUGGGAGACCACCUAGGAAGACCAGGUGUUGUAGGCG
ensembl:rRNA 5S_rRNA 5S ribosomal RNA